rnacentral:rRNA from 1 species
UGCCUGUUUGAGCGUCAUUUCCUUCUCAAACAUUCUGUUUGGUAGUGAGUGAUACUCUCUGGAGUUAACUUGAAAUUGCUGGCCUUUUCAUUGGAUGUUUUUUUUCCAAAGAGAGGUUUCUCUGCGUGCUUGAGGUAUAAUGCAAGUACGGUCGUUUUAGGUUUUACCAACUGCGGCUAAUCUUUUUUGUACUGAGCGUAUUGAAACGUUAUCGAUAAGAAGAGAGCGUCUAGGCGAACAAUGUUCUUAAAGUUUGACCUCAAAUCAGGUAGGAGUACCCGCUGAACUUAAGCAUAUCAAUAAGCGGAGGAAAAGAAACCAACCGGGAUUGCCUUAGUAACGGCGAGUGAAGCGGCAAAAGCUCAAAUUUGAAAUCUGGUACCUUUGGUGCCCGAGUUGUAAUUUGGAGAGGGCAACUUUGGGACCGUUCCUUGUCUAUGUUCCUUGGAACAGGACGUCAUAGAGGGUGAGAAUCCCGUGUGGCGAGGAGUGCGGUUCUAUGUAAAGUGCCUUCGAAGAGUCGAGUUGUUUGGGAAUGCAGCUCUAAGUGGGUGGUAAAUUCCAUCUAAAGCUAAAUAUUGGCGAGAGACCGAUAGCGAACAAGUACAGUGAUGGAAAGAUGAAAAGAACUUUGAAAAGAGAGUGAAAAAGUACGUGAAAUUGUUGAAAGGGAAGGGCAUUUGAUCAGACAUGGUGUUUUGCGCCCUCUGCUCCUUGUGGGUGGGGGAAUCUCGCAGUUCACUGGGCCAGCAUCAGUUUUGGUGGCAGGAUAAAUCCGUAGGAAUGUAACUUGCUUCGGGAAGUAUUAUAGCCUAUGGGAAUACUGCCAACUGGGACUGAGGACUGCGACGUAAGUCAAGGAUGCUGGCAUAAUGGUAAUCCGG